UCCGAGUUGACCCCGGCAGUCUCCUGCGAGUCCCCGCCAUUACGCGCUGGCAACACAGGACAAGGGUUGCGCUCGUUGCGGGACUUAACCCAACAUCUCACGACACGAGCUGACGACAGCCAUGCACCACCUGUAUACGCUGGUAUUGCUACCUUGUCAGACUUUCAUCCUUCUACUACGUACAUGUCAAGGCCAGGUAAGGUUCUUCGCGUUGCAUCGAAUUGAGCCACAUACUCCACCGCUUGUGCAGGCCCCCGUCAAUUUCUUUGAGUUUUAAUCUUGCGACCGUACUUCCCAGGCGGGGUACUUACUGCGUUAGCGACGGCACCGAAGGGGUCGCUCCCCCCGACGCCUAGUACCCAUCGUUUACGGCGUGGACUAC
rnacentral:misc_RNA from 1 species